CUGAACUUAAGCAUAUCAAUAAGCGGAGGAAAAGAAACCAACAGGGAUUACCUCAGUAACGGCGAGUGAAGCGGUAACAGCUCAAAUUUGAAAUCUGGCUCCUCGGGGCCCGAAUUGUAAUUUGUAGAAGAUGCUUUGGGUCUGGGCCUGGCCUAAGUUCCUUGGAACAGGACGUCGUAGAGGGUGAGAAUCCCGUAUGCGGCUGGCGCCCGUGCCCGUGUAAAGCUCUUUCAACGAGUCGAGUUGUUUGGGAAUGCAGCUCUAAAUGGGUGGUAAAUUUCAUCUAAAGCUAAAUAUUGGCCAGAGACCGAUAGCGCACAAGUAGAGUGAUCGAAAGAUGAAAAGCACUUUGGAAAGAGAGUUAAACAGUACGUGAAAUUGUUGAAAGGGAAGCGCUGGCAACCAGACUUGGGCGCUGUUGAUCCGCUAGGGUUCUCUCUAGGGCACUCGGCAGUGCGCAGGCCAGCAUCGGUUUGGGGGGUUGGAGAAUGGCUGGUGGAAUGUGGCUGUCUUUGGGCAGUGUUAUAGCCACCGGUGGCAUGCAGCCUCCCCGGACCGAGGACCGCGCUUCGGCUAGGAUGCUGGCGUAAUGGUUGUCAGCGACCCGUCUUGAAACA
rnacentral:rRNA from 1 species